AUGCCGAAAGUUCAACACACAACCAAGCUUAGAGUAGUUCAGCUGUACCGAGAGGGAUGGAGACCGUACGCCAUUCGAAGGCAACUUGCCAAUGAGAGCCUUGCUAUUACGAAAAGUACAGUUAAGCGUAUCAUUGACAAACACAAUUUGGGUAAUUUCACAGCAAUAAAUACAGUAAUGGCUGCACCUGUGGUAUUCCAGAAAAUCAACGAUCUAGACCUAGCCACUAUUAACAAUGCCUUUACCAACGACUGCAACUUGUCGAGCCGAGACAUUCAGCGAAUAUUGUCCGAGAAAAAUAAUACCAACGUAUCCUUGUCAACAGUAAGAAGGGCUAUAGAUGCAGCAGGUUGGGUUUCAACAUCGCCAAGAUAUUGCCAGCUCAUUAGAGAUGCCAAUAAAGAAAACAGGGUCAAAUUUUGCCAAGACAUGAUUGCAAGUGAUGAGCGUUUUGAAGAUGUGAUAUUCAGCGACGAGACAACGCUACAACUGCACGACAACAAAACAGGGGCGUACCGACGCAAAGAGUCAGCUGCACCAACUAAUUGCCGACCGAAUCACCCAUUGAAAGUUCACGUUUGGGGUGGUAUAAGUAAGAGAGGUGCAACACAAGUUUUGAUUUUUGAUGGUAUAAUGGAUGCAGCAUUUUUUGUACCUGAAAUUUUAGGCGCUACUUUGAAACCAUUUAUUGACUCUGUGUAUCCGGAUGGUCACCGUUUUCAGCAAGACAAUGACCCCAAACACACUUCAAAGCUAGCCAAAAAUUUUAUGCAAGAAAACAACAUCAAUUGGUGGAAAUGGCCGUCCGAGUCACCGGAUAUUAAUCCAAUCGAAAUGGUUUGGAACCAGUUAAAAAGAAACGUUUCAAAAAGAAAUCCAACGACCAAAGAGCAGUUGUGCCAGUAUAUAGAAGAAUUUUGGUUGAGAGAGAUGACGCCAGCACACUGUUCAAAGUACAUUGACCACAUAUAUAAAGUUGCACCAGUGGUUGUUUCGGUUGGAGGAAAAGCAACAGCUGACAUACCCGGGAGAUUGUUCAAAGAAAGUUCAUCAGACAUGAGCAUGCAGUACUUCCAUGACAAGUUAUGUGCACCACAACUACGCCAGAAGCUUACAGUAAUGAUGGGUGACCGAUGA
rnacentral:sRNA from 1 species